rnacentral:rRNA from 1 species
AAUUUUUGACAAUGGGGGAAACCCUGAUCCAGCCAUCCCGCGAGUAUGAUGAAUGACUUAGGGAUGUAAAGUACUUUUGGCAGAGAAGAAAAGGUAUCACCUAAUACGCACUACUGCUGACGGUAUCUGCAGAAUAAGUACCGUCUAACUACGUGCCAGCAGCCGCGGUAAUACGUAGGGUGCAAGCGUUAAUCGGAAUUACGGGGCGUAAAGCGUGUGUAGGCGGUUCGGAAAGAAAGAUGUGAAAUCCCAGGGCUCAACCUUGGAACUGCAUUUUUAACUGCCGAGCUAGAGUAUGUCAGAGGGGGGUAGAAUUCCACGUGUAGCAGUGAAAUGCGUAGAUAUGUGGAGGAAUACCGAUGGCGAAGGCAGCCCCCUGGGAUAAUACUGACGCUCAGACACGAAAGCGUGGGGAGCAAACA